ensembl:rRNA 5S_rRNA 5S ribosomal RNA
GACAUUUGGUAGAGACUGUUGAAGUCACCUGGUCCCAGAAGACCCCAGAAAAUGACCACAUUCUCUGGUGCUGGAACAAGGUUGUUAAGUGAGAAGCCUGGUGCCAGAUGUGU